CAUCAAAUUGUGUACAUCUGCCUCAGCCGCUGCCGCCAACCAGUAGCACAUAAAUCUAUUUAACUUGUCAGCAUAAUCAUAGAGAUUAUCAUCAUAAGAGGAUAUGUCUUUUCUCUAAACAGUGACUCACUGCAUGGGGUGUCCUUAAAUAUUAUUAAUUUUCUCGGGUGCCAGAAGCACUACAUCCAGAAUCUUUCCUGCAUUUUCUCAGCAACCAAACAGACUUUUGAGUUGAUCACUACUAAAAAAACCCUGCUUUCGGUUGUUGAAUUCUCUAACUCUCACUAUAUCUGUUGGAUUGGAACUUGAAGAAGAAGAAGAAUCAGCUGUGGAGUCUGCAGCUUCUUUUCAUGAUCUGGAAUCUUCUCAUGAUCUGGAGAGGCCACUGCUUGUCGAUAAUUCUCGGGUUCGAAUCCAAUAGAACCAUGCCAGAGAUGUCCAUAUUCUCAGCUCUGCCUUCUUGCUCAUCUUUCUUGCUUUUGGUGCCACUCAGAAUCUAGAGAGCACUCUCAUCACUGUACAUAAUUGUUCCGGUUUCUUUGUACCUUGGGUUUGCCUCUUCAAUAAUAUGGGUCGAGCAGGGAACAUAUCUAACUGCAGCAGUGCAUAGUCAUGCCCGAGACAAUGGCUUACAUGAACGAACAGUUAUUGGUAACUUAGGGAUUGUUUGCCUGUCGACAGGUGACUCUGUUCGGUCCUCCUUAUGAAUUUGUGCUACAAUUUUCUAUCGAAUUUAUCCUGUCAUUUUGGCUUAUGAUCUUUGCUAUGAACUUUUGCAGUUCAUUGGAAAUCUUUUACCACUUUUCUUGCUAAAAAGUAGAAAAGAUAGUGCCAACUGCCAUCCUUUUGUACACAUUGCUUGUUUGAAUUUGCGUUUAGAAUCCAUGGUUGUUUGGAUACGAUGUGCAUUGAUUUUGUUUCCCUUUUGAUCACUGCAGGACGGAAAUACAGGCGACAUAAAUUUGUUGUUCACCGUGUUUCUCUGCAAUAUGACCUUAGGAACCAUACUGAUGUGCUUCUUAAGCAAACGGGAUGACAAAGUAGAGUCUCUCAACUUACUUGCUACUCUGUCAUCUUCGUCAAUGUCACUCAUCCUUCCUUUGUUUGAUAUACGGAGGCUAUUAAUCAUCCCCCUCAUGGCAUAUACAGGAUUACAACAAGCAUUUGUAUGGGCUGAAUUCACUAAGUACAUCGUUAAACCAAUGCUCGGUAUGUCUGGUGUGGGCGGUGCAAUGGCAGUUUAUGGGGCUUUUGAUGAGUAUGUUCACUCUCUGCUGGUCGACUUACCUCGGGUCUCAAGUCCAUCACUCUUAUCGUCACAGGCGGAACUUUAGUUCAGGCCGCUAUAUUCAUCUGGCUGCUUCUUUUUUACAGCCCGUCAAGUGGACUACUUGGCACAAUGAACCUUCUUAUCAUGUCAGCUCUCUUGGGCAUCGGCGAUGGAGUUUUCAACACACAGCUCAGUGCUUUGAUUGGAAUAUUCUUCAGUCACAAUACGGAAGGAGCGUUUGCGCCGCUAAAGGUGUGGCAGUGUGGCGCCGUUGCACUCAUCUUCUUCAUCAGUCCAUACAUCUCAUUACAGGCAAUGCUAGUUCUUACGCUCUCUGCGAUCUGCCUCUCGUAAGCCUCCUUUCUGUUUCUGUAUCGCGGAGGCGACAAAUCAACCUCGCUUCAUCGAGUUCAGGUUCAGGUUCAUGAUGUGUUGCGCAUGAAAUAUGAAAUCUUCAAGAGCAAAAAGGGAAUAGUCGUACAGGUUUGUUGUUACCGUCUCUAAACCCAUCUCAUCCACUUUGCGGUUGUUUAUGAAACUAAUGAAAAAUGACCGUUAUAUUAUCACAGAACAUUACUGCAUCUAAUACGGGUCUCGACCCGUCCAACUCAACCCGACUGAGAAUGGUUUGGGUGGUUGGGUUGCUUGAUUUUUUAUGUGCGGCAAUAGUUUGAAUUAA